rnacentral:rRNA from 1 species
GACAGAGGUGCCGAGCGUUAGGCGGAAUCACUGGGCUUAAAGCGUGUGUAGGCGGGCCGUUAAGUACCUUGUGAAAUCCCCCGGCUUAACUGUGGAACGGCUGGGCAUACUGGCGGUCUUGAGCCAUCUAGGGGCGACUGGAACAAACGGUGGAGCGGUGAAAUGCGUAGAUAUCGUUUGGAACGCCAAUGGUGAAAACAGGUCGCUGGGGAUGAGCUGACGCUGAGACACGAAAGCCAGGGGAGCAAACGGG